CAGAAAACGAGCUGCUUGACGCCAUCUGCUAGUCAGUUUGGCCAACCGGCAGGAAGCUGGGAGAAAUUUGUUCUGUGUAACGCCGCCUUUAGUGUAAAAAGGAUUCAUGAACUUGUAGAGAUAGUGUAUCAGUAGCAAAGUGGACUAUGUAUGUGGUCACUGAAUAUGUGGAAGAGAAGACAGUUGCAGUUUCCCAUUUGUAUUGGAUUGAGACUGAAAACAAGGAAGGGAUCUACUAUUGGCCAGGAAAUGCAAGGGCAUCAAAAAAAAUUCAUUAAGAUUGAGCUGACUGACAAAGAGUUGUGGAAGAAGUAUAAGUUAGAAUAUUGUCUACUACAGGUACGGUAUUUUUUCUGUACAGUAAAAUCCCUCUUAUCCGGCAUCAAUGGGACCGCCGACAUGCCGGAUACUUGAAUAGAAGUGAAAUUAUGUUCACAAUCACCAUCCUACA